AAGAACGCAACCGGGUGUUCAUUCGCGUGCCGGCCAUUCGUCGCUCCCGCUCCAAUCAUGAUGCCGGAUGUAUCGAAUCCCGAGCUUUCCGCUCAUGAUGGAGGUAGGGCGGGACGGGACGUUGGCGACGUGGUUGAUCUGAGAAAUACCGGUGAACUUGAUCUGGAUAAUACCAGCGAAAGGAUUUGCUUCUUGAAGACUC
rnacentral:ncRNA from 1 species